rnacentral:misc_RNA from 1 species
GUGAAGAACGCAGCGAAAUGCGAUAAGUAGUGUGAAUUGCAGAAUUCAGUGAAUCAUCGAAUCUUUGAACGCACAUUGCGCCUUCUAGUAUUCUGGGAGGCAUGCCUGUUUGAGCGUCAUUAAACCUCUCUCAAGUAUGAUUACUUGGAUGUGAAGGAAGAGUACCUUAAACUUAAGGAGUUUUCUCCUUUGAAAUUGAUUAGCAGAUGGUAAUGUUAUUAAAUCCCUGAUGUUGUAAGAAAUAACAGUGGUUUUGUAGACUAUUAUCUAGCUUUAAAUUAUAAUUUUUAUUAUGGUUGACCUCAAAUCAGGUAAGGAUACCCGCUGAACUUAAGCAUAUCAAUAAGCGGAGGA